rnacentral:rRNA from 1 species
GACGAACGCUGGCGGCGUGCUUAACACAUGCAAGUCGAACGGAAAGGCCCUGCUUUUGUGGGGUGCUCGAGUGGCGAACGGGUGAGUAACACGUGAGUAACCUGCCCUUGACUUUGGGGUAACUUCAGGAAACUGGGGCUAAUACCGGAUAGGAGCUCCUGCUGCAUGGUGGGGGUUGGAAAGUUUCGGCGGUUGGGGAUGGACUCGCGGCUUAUCAGCUUGUUGGUGGGGUAGUGGCUUACCAAGGCUUUGACGGGUAGCCGGCCUGAGAGGGUGACCGGCCACAUUGGGAAUGAGAUACGGCCCAGACUCCUACGGGAGGCAGCAGUGGGGAAUAUUGCACAAUGGGCGGAAGCCUGAAGCAGCAACGCCGGGUGCGGGAAGACGGCCUUCGGGGUGGAAACCGCUUUCGCCUGUGACGAAGCGUGAGUGACGGUAAUGGGUAAAGAAGCACCGGCUAACUACGUG